AUGAACGCUAGCUACAGGCUUAACACAUGCAAGUCGAGGGGCAGCAUGAACUUAGCUUGCUAAGUUUGAUGGCGACCGGCGCACGGGUGAGUAACACGUAUCCAACCUGCCGAUGACUCGGGGAUAGCCUUUCGAAAGAAAGAUUAAUACCCGAUGGCAUAGUUCUUCCGCAUGGUAGAACUAUUAAAGAAUUUCGGUCAUCGAUGGGGAUGCGUUCCAUUAGGUUGUUGGCGGGGUAACGGCCCACCAAGCCUUCGAUGGAUAGGGGUUCUGAGAGGAAGGUCCCCCACAUUGGAACUGAGACACGGUCCAAACUCCUACGGGAGGCAGCAGUGAGGAAUAUUGGUCAAUGGACGAGAGUCUGAACCAGCCAAGUAGCGUGAAGGAUGACUGCCCUAUGGGUUGUAAACUUCUUUUAUACGGGAAUAAAGUGAGGCACGUGUGCCUUUUUGUAUGUACCGUAUGAAUAAGGAUCGGCUAACUCCGUGCCAGCAGCCGCGGUAAUACGGAGGAUCCGAGCGUUAUCCGGAUUUAUUGGGUUUAAAGGGAGCGUAGGCGGACGCUUAAGUCAGUUGUGAAAGUUUGCGGCUCAACCGUAAAAUUGCAGUUGAUACUGGGUGUCUUGAGUACAGUAGAGGCAGGCGGAAUUCGUGGUGUAGCGGUGAAAUGCUUAGAUAUCACGAAGAACUCCGAUUGCGAAGGCAGCUUGCUGGACUGUAACUGACGCUGAUGCUCGAAAGUGUGGGUAUCAAACAGGAUUAGAUACCCUGGUAGUCCACACCGUAAACGAUGAUUACUAGGUGUGGGGGCGUCAAGCUUCCGUGCCGGAGUUAACACAAUAAGUAAUCCACCUGGGGAGUACGACCGCAAGGUUGAAACUCAAAGGAAUUGACGGGGGCCCGCACAAGCGGUGGAGCAUGUGGUUUAAUUCGAAGCAACGCGAAGAACCUUACCAGGUCUUGACAUCGAUCUAAAGGCUCCAGAGAUGGAGAGAUAGCUAUAGAGAAGACAGGUGGUGCAUGGUUGUCGUCAGCUCGUGCCGUGAGGUGUCGGCUUAAGUGCCAUAACGAGCGCAACCCUUAUCGAUAGUUACCAUCAGGUUAUGCUGGGGACUCUGUCGAGACUGCCGUCGUAAGAUGUGAGGAAGGUGGGGAUGACGUCAAAUCAGCACGGCCCUUACGUCCGGGGCUACACACGUGUUACAAUGGGGGGUACAGAAGGCAGCUACACGGCGACGUGAUGCUAAUCCCGAAAGCCUCUCUCAGUUCGGAUUGGAGUCUGCAACCCGACUCCAUGAAGCUGGAUUCGCUAGUAAUCGCGCAUCAGCCACGGCGCGGUGAAUACGUUCCCGGGCCUUGUACACACCGCCCGUCACACCAUGAGAGCCGGGGGGACCCGAAGUCGGUAGUCUAACCGCAAGGAGGACGCCGCCGAAGGUAAAACUGGUGAUUGGGGUG
rnacentral:rRNA from 1 species